UGCGGAGGCGGAUUAAUAAGUCAGUGGUGAAAUCUUUCGGCUCAACCGAGAAACUGCCAUUGAUACUGUUAAUCUUGAGUUCGGUUGAGGUAGGCGGAAUGUGUAAUGUAGCGGUGAAAUGCUUAGAUAUUACACAGAACACCAAUUGCGUAGGCAGCUUACUAGACCGACACUGACGCUGAGGCACGAAAGCGUGGGGAGCGAACAGGAUUAGAUACCCUGGUAGUCC
rnacentral:rRNA from 1 species